rnacentral:piRNA from 1 species
UAGUAAGGGUCAGUUUCGUGGUUCAGAGGU